UUUUUGGGCUCAGGAAACUGGCUGUUCUUAUGUAUUGAUGUGGAGAAAGCCUAAUAGAUUGAAUCCUAAAUGUGAUUUACGCGCAUAAUGGAUUUCAGGGUUCGUCUCUCUACGGUUCCGACUUCUGAUCUUCAUCUGUAUCAUUGAAACGGUUCCAGUUAUCUCUUCUUCGUGUUUAACCCCUUAUUAAUUCGAACAAUCCCGAUCUAGCUAUGAAUGCGAUCUUUCUUCGGCGAGUCGGUCUAUCUAAGAUUAUAAAAAGAGCUUUUGUUUAUGGGAGAUGAUAGUGGGAGUGGAAAUCACUAUUUUUGUAAAGUUCAGGUAAGGUAGAUCUCUGAAUUAUUUGUCGUUUUUCCAAAUCUAAGACACAAAAAGACAUUAGAUAUCUGUGUAAGGUACUGCACCCUCCUAUAACCCUCGAUGACAAACUCAGAAGAAUCUUGGGAGAAAGUAUUCACGGGUUAGUGAUAACAACCGCUCCAUCGAUGAGACAGGUUGCUUCGGCUCUUUCACAUGCUGGUUUGGAGUCCUCGAAUCUGAUUGUUGGUAUUGAUGUCACCAAGAGCAACGAUUGGACAGGUUAGACAAGUUAUGAUCUUUAUGUAUAGAAACUGUUUUAGUCUAGAUUUUAAGUGAAUGCUGCUCUGAUCCAAAAGCUAACUGGUGAUUUGAUUUGGAAUAAUCCCAAACCCUCAUUAGCAAGCUAUUUCUAUCAUUGGAAAGAAGAUUUCAUCGGUUUUUGAUCGGGAUAACUUGAUCUACGUUAUGGAUUCAGAGAUGGUAAUAACUUCAAAAGUUAUAUUUUAUCAUUUAACUGCUAAGUUUGUUGUUUGGUCUGUGAUUACAGAUUUCAGAUUGGUUUCUUUGGUUAUUACGUCUGUCUCGAAUGAUAAUCAUUGCAUCAAUAGUCCUGGUGGUUAUGGGUCGUUACAGUGGAUUCAUAGCAAUGUAUGCUACAUAAGCUAGCAGAGAUGUCGAUUGCUGCCUUACCCCUUAGUCAGCCUUUUAUCUCUAAGGGAAGGUGGACUCUUGGAGUUCUUUGAGGGAAACAGAUCAAGAAGCAGGGCAACAAUUGAUGUGCAAAAGCAUGGAAUUUAACAAUGAUGCCUCUGAUAAAAAGCUUAUUAUAGAUCUCGGCUUCUGGCUACCACAAAGCAUCAAGGAUCAUUUAAAUAAGAUUAACAUAGUGACGAAUCUCAAUACAUAGAUUCUACAUACAUGAUUCGGGGUGUUCAAGCAAUGCAUCAGACAGUUUUUAUUGUACACUUCUUGCUCAGAGCGUUGUUCAUGGUGAAAUGUCCAGCGGUCUUAUUAAUGGAAGACCAACAUACAUUCCUUACAACAGGAUAACAGAGAAACAGAACAGUGUGGCGAUUACAGAUAGAAUGUGGACAAGGCUAAUGUCUUCAACGAAUCAGUCCAGUUUCUUAGACCCUAAGGAUAUAACCGAGGAGAAGAAUGAGGUGCCGGAAAAGCCACACAUCUUGACGGUGAAAACAGUGACGGACUUUUCGAUAUUCUUCGAGCUACUAAAGAGAUCACUAAGUAAUGGUACAAAAACAUUGUUUAUAGACCUUCCAAACCAAAACAUAUAUUGUAUGCUUUUUCCUUGAACGAUAAGUUUUGGCAAAAAUGAAAUAAUUGUAUGUUCUAGAGAUUUCGCAUAUUUGUUGGCAUAUAUGCAAUGUUUUAUUAGCUUGUUGUACAUGUUUAGUUUUGUAACCACUAACCCUUUGAAUCUACACCACAUCAUAUGAUA